rnacentral:lncRNA from 1 species
CCAUCACUUUCUUAAUCUCCACCUCCUCUUCCUUGUCCUCCUCCUCCUUGUUCCUCAUGACCAUCUUCAUCAUCAACACCCCCAAUAUCACCUGAAGGUCAGCCUCACAAGUCCAAUUUCCUUAUGAGCUUCUUUGCUGCAAUGUCCACAAAAGAGGCUCAAGGACAUUUCCUAAAUUCUAGAGGGACUGGCUGGGUUGCAGCUUCAUGAGGUCCAAGAUCUAGCCACUUAGUAAGGUAGAGGCUCCGCAGUGAAGAUGCAGCAUGGUUCAGGACAGGGACCUAGCUCUCAGGAACUUGGUCCACUAGGCACCAAUGCAAAUUCUUUCACACACUAGCUGUAUGACUUUGGGCAAGUCAGAAACCUCUCUGAGCCUCAGUUCCCUUCUCUGCUAAAUGGGGAUAAAACAUCCACCCUCAUCUGCCAGGUUGUGGUGUGGACUCUAAGCAAAGUACAUUUAUUCACAGAUUAAAAAGUAUAUGUGCUCUUAUUAGUAGUACUACUAUUAUAGAAUAUAUCUACCAGCUCCCGGAGGAACCAAAAGUUCACCUUCCAGGGCACUGAGUCAAGUGAUGAUGAUGAUGACAACAACGACAAUACCAAUGAUAGUGAGGAUGAUGAUGAUGAGAAUUAUGAUGUUGAGGAUAUGAUGAGGAGGAGGAGGAUGGCAGAUGAUGAUGAUGGUGAGGAUAAUGAUGAUGGUGAGGAUGAUGAUGGUGAGGAUGAUGAUGGUGAAGAUGAUGAU